AUGUCGGCUAGUGGACUCUUUGCCUCGUGUCUCCGCUGGAGGGUCCGAAGGACCGCUCCGGCCUUUGCCUCGUGUCUCCGCUGGAGGGUCCGAGGGACCGCUCCGGCCUUUGCCUCGUGUCUCCGCUGGAGGGUCCGAGGGACCGCUCCGGCCUUUGCCUCGUGUCUCCGCUGGAGGGCCCGAAGGACCGCUCCGGCCUUUGCUUCCUGUCGUCGCUGGAGGGUCCGAAGGACCGCUCCAGCCUUUGCUUCCUGUCGUCGCUGGAGGGUCCAAGGGAUCCGCAGCGCCUCGUCUCCGGCUUCCACGCCGCCGCCAGCCGCAGCGCCUCCGUCUCCGGCUUCCACGCCGCCGCCAGCUGCAGUGCCUCCGUCUCCGGCUUCCAUGCCAGCUGCAACCUCUUCAUUCACGCCAGCUGCAGCGCCACCGCCUCCGGCUUCUACGCCGCCGCCUGCAGCGCCUCCGUCUCCGGCGUCCACGCCGCCGCCAGCUGCAGCGCCUCCGUCUCCGGCUUCCACGCCGCUGCCAGCUGCAGCUUCACCAUCCACGCCAGCUGCAGCGCCUCCGGCCUCAUCGUCUCCGGCUUCCACGCCGUCACCUGCGGCCUCAUCGUCUCCGGCUUCCACGCCGUCACCUGCGGCCUCAUCGUCUCCGGCUUCCACGCCGUCACCUGCGGCCUCAUCAGCCACGCCAACAGCAGCCUCCGAGUCUUCGGCGUCGCCUGGUCCAGCCUCCGAGUCUUCAGCGUCGCCUGGUCCUACCCCGUCGGGGUCUGCAGCUGACUGGACGCUUUCCAGGCCACUGGCCAGGCGACAUCGCCGUCGUGGGCGGCCCCCGGACCGCCUUCGCCUGAGUCGCCGCCGUUGCCUCCCGCACGGCCGGCCCCUGAACUGUGCCCACGUCGGCGCCGCUGCCGUCCUCACGGCCGGCCCCCUGAACUGUCCGGGCUCCGGUGCUGUCGGCCCCCUGGCCGUCCCCCCGAACUGUGUCCACGUCGCCGUCCUCACAGCCGGCCCCCUGUGGUGUUCUGUUUUGGACUGUUUUCCUGUGCUCCGGUGUGUUUCCUUUUUGUCUUCUUUUGGUUUUGGGCUCAUGUUGUGUUUUCUGGUGCUCCUGUUUUGUUUUGGCUUCGGGCCCUCCUUCCUGGACCCCCACCGCCCGCCCUGGUCGGGUUGUUUUCUGUUUUUGGGCGUUUCUUGGUUUUCUUGUUUUGGGCUGUCUGGGCCAGCCCUUGAGGGGGGGUACUGUCAUGAUCCUGGGUCCUUUUGACCCAGCGUUUUGUGUUUUCUAUUAUUGUAAUUUUGGUUCUGUUCUUCCUCGGUUAGUGUUCAUUCUUUUCUACCAGUGUAUCCCUGUGUUUAGUCUGCGUUUUGAGUCUGUGUCAUUACGUGCAUGUGUUUCCUGUUUUACUUUAAAAGUCUCUGUCUUAUUGCAGUGUGUUCAGUUUACUUUUCCCCUGUCUCGUCAGGUCCGAUUACUCCCAGCUGUGCCCUCCUUUUGUGUCUCAUUCCCUCGUUAUCCUUCUGUGUAUUUAAACCUCGUGUCUGCCUCUGUUAGUUGCUGGUUCGUCUGUGUUGCUCCCCUCCGUGUUCUCGUGUUUUCUCCCUACAUCUCCGUUUCUCGACCCAGGGUUUCAGGUUUGUUUGUUAGCUCUUCCCAGUUUAGGUUUUUCAGUUUUGUUCACCUGCCUUUGUUGUUUGUACCCACGCGAGUAAAUAAAGACUCACCUGCACCAGAGCUGCCGCCUUUUGGGUCCUCUCUAUAAUCUCCACACGCCUGCCACUCCGGGCGUGACAGGCGUUUUUAUAUAACCAUUUAAAUCUCUUUACAGAACAAUCAGGUGUUCUGCAUCAAAUAAGAAGGCACACAAAUUAUUUGUGCCAGUCCAAAAAUAUAGUUUGUGUUCAGUAAAUGGUAAAUGGCCUGUACAGGGAGUGCAGAAUUAUUAGGCAAAUGAGUAUUUUGUCCACAUCAUCCUCUUCAUGCAUGUUGUCUUACUCCAAGCUGUAUAGGCUCGAAAGCCUACUACCAAUUAAGCAUAUUAGGUGAUGUGCAUCUCUGUAAUGAGAAGGGGUGUGGUCUAAUGACAUCAACACCCUAUAUCAGGGGUGCAUAAUUAUUAGGCAACUUCCUUUCCUUUGGCAAAAUGGGUCAAAAGGACUUGACAGGCUCAGAAAAGUCAAAAAUAGUGAGAUAUCUUGCAGAGGGAUGCAGCAGUCUUAAAAUUGCAAAGCUUCUGAAGCGUGAUCAUCGAAUAAUCAAGCGUUUCAUUCAAAAUAGUCAACAGGGUCGCAAAAAGCGUGUGGAAAAACCAAGAUGCAAAAUAACUGCCCAUGAACUGAGAAAAGUCAAGCGUGCAGCUGCCAAGAUGCCACUUGCCACCAGUUUGGCCAUAUUUCAGAGUUGCAACAUCACUGGAGUGCCCAAAAGCACAAGGUGUGCAAUACUCAGAGACAUGGCCAAGGUAAGAAAGGCUGAAAGACGACCACCACUGAACAAGACACACAAGCUGAAACGUCAAGACUGGGCCAAGAAAUAUCUCAAGACUGAUUUUUCUAAGGUUUUAUGGACUGAUGAAAUGAGAGUGAGUCUUGAUGGGCCAGAUGGAUGGGCCCGUGGCUGGAUUGGUAAAGGGCAGAGAGCUCCAGUCCGACUCAGACGCCAGCAAGGUGGAGGUGGAGUACUGGUUUGGGCUGGUAUCAUCAAAGGUGAGCUUGUGGGGCCUUUUCGGGUUGAGGAUGGAGUCAAGCUCAACUCCCAGUCCUACUGCCAGUUUCUGGAAGACACCUUCUUCAAGCAGUGGUACAGGAAGAAGUCUGCAUCCUUCAAGAAAAACAUGAUUUUCAUGCAGGACAAUGCUCCAUCACACACGUCCAAGUACUCCACAGCGUGGCUGGCAAGAAAGGGUAUAAAAGAAGAAAAACUAAUGACAUGGCCUCCUUGUUCACCUGAUCUGAACCCCAUUGAGAACCUGUGGUCCAUCAUCAAAUGUGAGAUUUACAAGGAGGGAAAACAGUACACCUCUCUGAACAGUGUCUGGGAGGCUGUGGUUGCUGCUGCAUGCAAUGUUGAUGGUGAACAGAUCAAAACAUUGACAGAAUCCAUGGAUGGCAGGCUUUUGAGUGUCCUUGCAAAGAAAGGUGGCUAUAUUGGUCACUGAUUUGUUUUUGUUUUGUUUUUGAAUGUCAGAAAUGUAUAUUUGUGAUUGUGGAGAUGUUAUAUUGGUUUCACUGGUAAAAAUAAAUAAUUGAAAUGGGUAUAUAUUUGUUUUUUGUUAAGUUGCCUAAUAAUUAUGCACAAUAAUAGUCACCUGCACACACAGAUAUCCCCCUAAAAUAGCUCAAACUAAAAACAAACUAAAAACUACUUCCAAAAACAUUCAGCUUUGAUAUUAAUGAGUUUUUUGGGUUCAUUGAGAACAUGGUUGUUGUUCAAUAAUAAAAUUAUUCCUCAAAAAUACAACUUGCCUAAUAAUUCUGCACUCCCUGUAUUUGUAUAGCACUUUACUAGUCCCUAAGGACCCCAAAGCACUUUACACAUCCAG
rnacentral:lncRNA from 1 species